rnacentral:tRNA from 1 species
GAGGGUGUAGCUCAACAUUAGAGUGCAUGCUUAGCAUGUCCAGGGUCCUGGGUUCAAUCCCCAGUACCUCCA